rnacentral:rRNA from 1 species
AAAUUGAAGAGUUUGAUCAUGGCUCAGAUUGAACGCUGGCGGCAGGCCUAACACAUGCAAGUCGAACGGUAGCACAGAGAGCUUGCUCUCGGGUGACGAGUGGCGGACGGGUGAGUAAUGUCUGGGAAACUGCCCGAUGGAGGGGGAUAACUACUGGAAACGGUAGCUAAUACCGCAUAACGUCGCAAGACCAAAGUGGGGGACCUUCGGGCCUCACACCAUCGGAUGUGCCCAGAUGGGAUUAGCUAGUAGGUGGGGUAACGGCUCACCUAGGCGACGAUCCCUAGCUGGUCUGAGAGGAUGACCAGCC